UACGUAGGGACCGAGCGUUGUCCGGAAUCAUUGGGCGUAAAGAGCGUGUAGGCGGCCACUUAAGUCCUGCGUGAAAUCCUGCGGCUCAACCGCAGGCGGUCGUGGGAAACUGGGUGGCUAGAGUGCGGGAGAGGAGAGUGGAAUUCCUGGUGUAGCGGUGGAAUGCGCAGAUAUCAGGAAGAACACCCGUGGCGAAGGCGGCUCUCUGGAACGCAACUGACGCUGAGACGCGAAAGCGUGGGAGCAAACAGG
rnacentral:rRNA from 1 species